rnacentral:rRNA from 1 species
ACGACUGCUAUUUGGGUGAGGAUAAACCAUGCGAGUUGUAUGGGAUACCUAAAUUUCCCAUAUCAAACUGCUUAGUAACACAUGAUCAACUUACCCUAUGGAGAAAUAUAACCUCGGGAAACUGAGGAUAAUGCUUCAUAGUUGAAUAGGCUUGGAAAAGUGUUUCAAUGAAAGGGAUAAGAUAAAUGGUUCUUAUCUGCCAUAGGAUAGGAUCGUGCUCGAUUAUGGUUGUUGGUGAGGUAACGGCUCACCAAGCCGAUAAUCGAUAGGGGCCGUGAGAGCGGGAGCCCCAAGAUGGGUACUGAGACAGCGACCCAGGCCUUACGAGGCGCAGCAGGUACGAAACCUCCGCAAUACACGAAAGUGUGACGGGGUUACCCAAAGUGUUCUGAUAGAACUGUGGCAGGUGAGUAAUGUCCCCUGCUAGAAAGGAGAGGGCAAGGCUGGUGCCAGCCGCCGCGGUAAAACCAGCUCUUCAAGUGGUCGGGAUAAUUAUUGGGCUUAAAGUGUCCGUAGCCGGUUUAGUAAGUUCCUGGUAAAAUCAGGUAGCUUAACUAUCUGCAUGCUAGGAAUACUGCUAUACUAGAGGGCGGGAGAGGUCUGAGGUACUACAGGGGUAGGGGGUGUAAUCUUAUAAUCCUUGUAGGACCACCAGUGGCGAAGGCGUCAGACUGGAAUGCGCCUGACGGUGAGGGACGAAAGCCAGGGGAGCGAACCGGAUUAGAUACCCGGGUAGUCCUGGCCGUAAACGAUGCAUACUAGGUGAUGGUACGGCCAUGAGCCGUGUCAGUGCCGUAGGGAAACCGUUAAGUGUGCCGCCUGGGAAGUACGGUCGCAAGGCUAAAAC